ACGAACGCUGGCGGCGUGCUUAACACCUGCAAGUCGAACGGAAAGGCCCUGCUUUUGUGGGGUGCUCGAGUGGCGAACGGGUGAGUAACACGUGAGUAACCUGCCCUUGACUUUGGGAUAACCUCAGGAAACUGGGGCUACUACCGGAUAGGAGCUCCUGCUGCAUGGUGGGGGUUGGAAAGUUUCGGCGGUUGGGGAUGGACUUGCGGCUUAUCAGCUUGUUGGUGGGGUAGUGGCUUACCAAGGCUUUGACGGGUAGCCGGCCUGAGAGGGUGACCGGCCACAUUGGGACUGAGAUACGGCCCAGACUCCUACGGGAGGCAGCAGUGGGGAAUAUUGCACAAUGGGCGGAAGCGUGAUGCAGCAGCGCCGCGUGCGGAAUGACGGCCUUCGGGUUGUAAACCGCUUUCGCCUGUGACGAAGCGUGAGUGACGGUACUGGGUAAAGAAGCACCGGCUAACUACGUG
rnacentral:rRNA from 1 species